rnacentral:rRNA from 1 species
GACGAACGCUGGCGGCGUGCCUAAUACAUGCAAGUAGAGCGCUGAAGAGAGGAGCUUGCUCUUCUUGGAUGAGUUGCGAACGGGUGAGUAACGCGUAGGUAACCUGCCUUGUAGCGGGGGAUAACUAUUGGAAACGAUAGCUAAUACCGCAUAACAAUGGAUGACACAUGUCAUUUAUUUGAAAGGGGCAAUUGCUCCACUACAAGAUGGACCUGCGUUGUAUUAGCUAGUAGGUGAGGUAAUGGCUCACCUAGGCGACGGUACAUAGCCGACCUGAGAGGGUGAUCGGCCACACUGGGACUGAGACACGGCCCAGACUCCUACGGGAGGCAGCAGUAGGGAAUCUUCGGCAAUGGGGGCAACCCUGACCGAGCAACGCCGCGUGAGUGAAGAAGGUUUUCGGAUCGUAAAGCUCUGUUGUAAGUCAAGAACGGGUGUGAGAGUGGAAAGUUCACACUGUGACGGUAGCUUACCAGAAAGGGACGGCUAACUACGUG